CCAGGCCUGAGAUGUCGAUAACAGAACGUUUGACUAGUGGUUUGUUUUCGGGACGGCCUACUUUGUGUGUCAAAAUGACAAUGGUUUCGUUUUAUUAACUGUAAAAUUUAAGUAUUUGGCCUCGUCAAAAACACAAUUAUUUAGCUGACGGCUAAAUACCGCCAGAUCAUGGACCUGCCUAUUAAACCUGGCGCCAAUCAAGUGGCAGACGUGGUGUUCGUCAUCGAAGGAACUGCAAACCUCGGCCCCUAUUUUGAAUCCCUCAGAAAACAUUACAUAUUACCUGCAAUCGAGUACUUCAAUGGAGGCCCUCCAGCAGAGACAGACUUUGGAGGAGAUUAUGGAGGCACACAGUAUGGUCUUGUUGUGUUCAACACAGUGGACUGUGCUCCUGAAUCCUACGUCCAGUGUCAAGCACCAACCAGCUCAGCCUUUGAGUUUGUCUCAUGGAUUGACAGCAUCCAGUUCAUGGGAGGAGGAGCAGAGAGCUGUAGUCUCAUCGCAGAGGGUCUGUCUGUGGCAUUGCAGCUCUUUGAUGACUUCAAAAAGAUGAGGGAGCAAAUAGGUCAGACACACAAAGUCUGUGUGCUGCUGUGUAACUCUCCGCCAUACCUGCUCCCUGCCGUGGAGAGUGUCAGCUAUACGGGCUGCACUGCAGACAAUCUGGUCAAGAUCAUCAGAGACAGAGGGAUUCAUUUUUCUGUGGUGUCGCCACGGAAACUGCCAGCGUUACGGGCGCUGUUCGAUAGGGCGUCACCAGUCGGGGGACCAGUCGACCCCCACCCAGACUACAGCCAAGACCCCUUCCACAUGAUCCUGGUUAGGGGUAUCUCACUUCCUGUGUCAUCAGGGGGAGGAUCGGGCCCUCUCAAACCAAUUCUACCCCCUCAACCCCUGCCUGUCAGUCAGCCUCCUCUUGGUCCCACCUCCCAGGCUCCUCCACCAAUAAGCACGGCCCAUCCAUAUCAGCCCCCAUCUUCCCUUAACGCGGCUCAGGCAGCUGCACAGAUGGCUGUAGAGGCAGCCAACAACCAGAAGAGUCGCUUCCCAGGCAUGGUCAAUCCUGGUCCCCCAUUCAGUGGUCAGUCAACUCUCCCAUCUGUAGCAGGAGUUAAGUUGGCUCCCUCCAGUCAGCCCAGCCUAUCCACAGUCACCACAGUUUCCACACCCAUGUUGCCUCAGCAACAAGCCCCUCCCCCGCAGCAGCAACAAGUCCAGCCGCCAGGACAACCACAGCCCAAUCAGCAGCAGCCGGUGCCCCCUCAGCAGCAGCAGCCCACAGCCAAUCAGCAGACGCCCCCAUCCUCACAGCCUGGCAUGCCUGGUGUGUCUGCAGCCCAGGCAAAUCCGAUUGGGGGGCAGCAGCAAGGCGUUGCCAAUAAGAUUGUAGCAUGGAGUGGGGUGCUGGAAUGGCAAGAGAAGCCCAAAGCCUCGUCUAUGGAUUCCAAUACCAAACUCACUCGCUCCCUGCCCUGCCAGGUGCAAGUCAACCAAGGAGAGAACCUAAAUGCCGACCAGUGGCCACAGAAGCUCAUCAUGCAAUUGAUCCCACAACAGCUACUGACAACACUCGGCCCCCUCUUCAGAAACUCUAGAAUGGUUCAGUUUCUCUUCACCAACAAAGAUGUGGAGUCACUAAAAGGUCUUUAUCGUAUCAUGGCCACUGGAUUUGCGGGGUGCGUCCACUUCCCCCACAGCGCCCCCUGUGAGGUGCGGGUGCUCAUGCUGCUCUACUCCUCCAAGAAGAGGAUUUUUAUGGGCCUCAUCCCCAACGACCAGAGCGGCUUCGUCAACGGCAUCCGACAGGUCAUCACCAACCACAAACAGGUCCAGCAGCACCGCUCGUUAGGUUCAGGAGGGCCGAUGCCAGGACCACCUGGCCAGGUUCAACCCAAUCAGAACUUCCUCAACCGGCCGCAGGGGCCCAUCCCUGUCUCCCAUGGCAACGUGCAGCAGCAGUCUGUGGUGGUGGGCAUGUCCUCUGUUAGUCAGGUCACUCUGAUGGAGGAACAGCAGAGACAGGCCAACCUGGUGAGACUCACACACACACAUACACAAAAACUCUCACCCAAAAUACAUUUUAAAAAAUGCACUGAACUUUACCAGGCACAAACUCUCCCUGUACUUGUUUUGGCACCUGCCUGGUUGGUGAGCAGCUCCUCUCCACUCUGCACGUGUUGGCUACUCUCUCACACUGUCUCAAUGGGUGCUCACUGCUACCAAUAUAGCUAGCCCAGCAUGUUCUGGGUUCAGUGAGUUACAUUGUUACAUUCGGCCUGUCUCUUUUUAAAGUGAACCCGGUACACCGUUCCAAUGAAUCAUAUGUACAGUGCCUUCAGAAAGUGUUCAUACCCUUUGACUUAUUUCACAUUGUGUUGUGUUACAGCCUGAAUUCAAAAUGGAUUAAAUACUUUUUUUCUCACCCAUCUACACACAAAUACCCCAUAAUGACAAAGUGGAAAUGUGUUUAAAAAUGUUAGAAAUUUUAUUGAAAAUUAAGUACAGAAAUAUCUCUAACCUAAGUAUUCACACCCCUGACUAAUACUUUGUAGAAGCACCGUUGGCAACGAUUACAGCUGUGAGUCUUUCUGGGUAAGUUUCUGUAUUGUACUAUAUUUGCCCAUUAUUCUUCUUAAAAUUCUUCAAUCUCUGUCAAGUUGAUUGUUGAUCAUUGCUAGACAGCCAUUUUCAAGUUUUGCCAUAUUUAAGUCAAAACUGUAACUAGGCCACUCAGGAACAUUCAUUGUCAUCUUGGUAAGCAUCUCCAGUGUAGAUUUGGCCUUGUGUUUUAGGUUAUUGUCCUGCUGAAAGAUGAAUUCCUCGCCCAGUAUCUGUUGGAAAGAAGACAACCAGAUGACGAUGAGAGCAUCCGGCGCACCUAAUCAGCCUGUCACCGGUGCUCCGCCCAACCAGGUCACUCAGGGUGGACAGGCCCCACC